rnacentral:misc_RNA from 1 species
GAUGAAGAACGCAGCGAAAUGCGAUACUUGGUGUGAAUUGCAGAAUCCCGUGAACCAUCGAGUCUUUGAACGCAAGUUGCGCCCGAAGCCAUUAGGCCGAGGGCACGCCUGCCUGGGCGUCACACGUCGUUGCCCCCCCAUCUACUCCUUCGGGAUUGCGGGGGGCGGAUGAUGGCCUCCCGUGCGCCUCGCCGCGCGGUUGGCAUAAAUGCCAAGUCCUCGGCGACGCACGCCACGACAAUCGGUGGUUGCGAAACCUCGGUUGCCCGUCGUGUGCGGUCGUCGCGCAUCGAGGGCUCGAAAAAAUUGCCGGGUUCCGGCUCGGCUUUCAACGCGACCCCAGGUCAGGCGGGGUUACCCGCUGAAUUUUAGCAUAUCAAUAAGCGGAGGA